rnacentral:rRNA from 1 species
AGCGAACGUUAGCGGCGGGCCUAACACAUGCAAGUCGAGCGAGAAAGGGGGUUCGCCCCCGAGUACAGCGGCGGACGGGUGAGUAACACGUAGGUAAUUUUUCCCUUUGAGCGGGGGACAACGUUCCGAAAGGGACGCUAAUACCGCAUAAGUUCUUGGGUGCUUCGGCACUGGAGAGGAAAGCUAGGCCGCAAGGUCUGGCACUCGAGGAGAAGCCUGCGUCGCAUCAGCUAGUUGGUGGGGUAAUGGCCUACCAAGGCAAAGACGCGUAGCUGGUCUGAGAGGAUGAUCAGCCACACUGGGACUGAGACACGGCCCAGACUCCUACGGGAGGCAGCAGUGGGGAAUAUUGGGCAAUGGGCGAAAGCCUGAUCCAGCAAUGCCGCGUGAGUGAUGAAGGCCUUAGGGUUGUAAAGCUCUUUUACCCGGGAUGAUAAUGACAGUACCGGAGAAUAAGCCCCGGCUAACUCCGUGCCAGCAGCCGCGGUAAU